rnacentral:rRNA from 1 species
UACGGAGGGUGCAAGCGUUAUCCGGAUUCACUGGGUUUAAAGGGUGCGUAGGUGGGUUGGUAAGUCAGUGGUGAAGUCUCCGAGCUUAACUUGGAAACUGCCAUUGAUACUAUCAGUCUUGAAUACCGUGGAGGUCAGCGGAAUAUGUCAUGUAGCGGUGAAAUGCUUAGAUAUGACAUAGAACACCAAUUGCGAAGGCAGCUGACUACGCGAAUAUUGACACUGAUGCACGAAAGCGUGGGGAUCAAACAGG